rnacentral:rRNA from 1 species
GCGUUGUUCGGAAUCAUUGGGCGUAAAGCGUACGCAGGCGGUCUGGAAAGUCCGACGUGAAAUCCCAGGGCUCAACCCUGGAACUGCGUUGGAAACUAUCAGACUUGAGUAUGGGAGAGGUUCGUGGAAUUCCAGGUGUAGGGGUGAAAUCCGUAGAGAUCUGGAGGAACACCGGUGGCGAAAGCGACGGACUGGACUGAUAUUGACGCUGAGGCGCGAAAGCGUGGGUAGCAAACAGGAUUAGAAACCCCAGUAGUCC